UCGCUCGUUUUAAAGUACAUCGAUGUCUACCCUGCCGAAAGCCAUACUCCGUAACACCUUUGUAAUUCACACACAUACGUAUACACGAAUAGAGCCAUACCAGCCAACAAAGGUAAUUCGACCAAUGAGAAUUUUGUAUCAAAACCGCAGGAAGAAAAAGAAAUCAGAAAUCUUCUCUCUCAUCCUUCCGUUCCGAUAGCUUGACCAAUAGCAAUACUAAUGUAAAGCAGACUGAAAACGAACGGACCAAUCACCGGCAUCAUCGACAAACGAAAUCAUCUGAUUGGUCAAAAGACUCACAGUCUUUGAUAGGCGUGUCGAAUGGGCGUAAAUGUAGUUAAAAUAACCACGCCUACUAGUUUUCGUUCAAUCAGGUUAGAGUCGACCAAUGACACGAUGGUAACGCUCGUCUGACAACGUGGCCUUGGUCGACGCCCCUGCAUUUCUCUUGGCUAACUAACAGCGUUUCCCCGCAUUCGAGAGUCGGCGCGUCGAUGUCAGCCACUCGGCCAGCAAGUCCCGGCCACCCUUCCCUUCUGCGUUCGCAAUUCACCCCACCUCACUCCUAUCCUCCUCCACCCCGCACCCACUCAAUUCCCCCUUUCAAUAGAUAGGGCAACGUAGCAGCCAAAAGAAGAGCCGCGUUGGAAUCGCGUGACAUAUCCUAUCCGACGGCACUUCUCAACGACGUUGCUUUACGUUCGUACGCCUGAUAAUGCGCGUAAACUCACACACGUACACGCCUAUACGCAGGAGAGGAGACUUACCCGGGCACGAGCGGCCCUUCCUGGAGGGAGGACGUUCAAACGAGGGAGAUGGAGCAUCGAUACGUGUGUGCCUCUCUCUCUCUUCUCUCUCUCUCUCUCUCUCUCU